rnacentral:lncRNA from 1 species
UAAAAUUAAGGAAUUAGUCAUAAUCAUUAAAAUACCGAAAUUAUUUUGUCAUCUUAUGGUUCUUUUUUUUUUAAGAAAAAAAUAGCAUGCUAUCUGAUUCAUUUAGUUUCCUUUUACAAAUAAAUUUAGCUAGAAAUAUAAAGCAAUUAUACUUCGGUACCAACUAUUAAAUUCUUUACCAUUUCACUAUUCUAUAGUUUAAAAAAUUACACUAAAUUAUUCCUAUGGUUUAGCUUAUAUUUACUUUCUCAGCCUAUAAUUCAAAAAGGUAUACUGAAUUAUUCUGUGGUUAUUAAAAAAUUUUAAUUUGUAACCUUACUUGUUAGUAGAUUUUUUUGAUAGAAAUAAAAAUAAAAUUAUAGAAUAGUUAAAUGCACCUGUUUAAACUACAGUAUGAUAAAGUAAAAUUAAACUAAACCACAUAGAAACAGAUUAAAGUUUAUCCUAUCAUUAAAUAUGGAGCUAAAUCUAUGACAUAUGAACCCUCCAUAGCCUUACCUCCAUCAUAAAAGAGAUAGUUUCAUAAUCAAGUAUCGUAAAAUUGAGAUAUAUUAAGUAAACCUAAAGAGGAGUAGGUCCCUUGUACUUUCGAAAAUAUGGAGGGUUACGUGUUUGUAAGUUAUUUUUGAUAAUAUAGGAUAUUCGAUUCGAAAAUCAACUCUGUUAAGCAUAAUAUAGUAUACUACUGGAAUUAUUUAGAAAUCAAAUUUCAUAAUUUUUUGACAUUAUUUACCAAGUGGUCGAAAGAUCUGAAAAAUGACUAUUUUAACGGUCGAUGUGGCGCGUUUUUAAGUUCAACGGUGUAGAAUAAUCCAAAUUAUAUGAAACAUUAAUAAAAAAUUCUACUUAAUAUCAAUAGCAAGAUCAAUACUUUUGAUUUAAAAUUUGAGUCUUUUAUCACUGUUUUUUAUGAUAUUUUUAUUUUCAACCGUUCAUUUUGAGACUACUUGUUCACUAGGCAGAUGAAGUCAAAAAAUUAUAAAGUUUGAUUUCUAAAUAGUUCCAAUAAAAUAGAUCAUGUUUAAUAAAAUUAAUUACCGAACCAGAUGUUCCAUCAUCGAAAAUAAUUUAUAAAUACGGAGACCUCCGUACUUUCAAAAUCCUAGAAGCGAGGCUCACCUAAAAAGUAAGGUCUACGAUUGUUACAAUUUACUCCGAAAAUUGGAUCUGGCCUUAUUAUGUUAAUUUAGUAUUUAGACACCCUGUUUAGAUUCCAUGCGAAUCAAUCAUUCUUUUAUUAUAGGAGUGAUUUUCCUAUUUUAUAUUUAAUAAUCUACACUCUAUCUAGUAGAGAUGUCAACGGGUCGGAUUCGGGGCUGAUUUUUAAAAGUCCGAACCCGAACCCGACCAAAAAUCCGAAACCCGAACCCGAACCCGAACUCGAAAAUUUGAACCCGAAACAAUUAUUUUUUUUUUUAAUAUUUCAAAAUAUAUUAUAUUAAAUUUAAAUUUUUAAAAUACAAAUUCAAAUAUAACAUCAAAUUUUUAUAUAUAUAUUAUAUAUAAUACAAAACAAGUUCGGGUUCGGGUCGGAUUCGGGUUCUAGUCGGAUACAAUCAAAAUCCAUAUCCGAAUCCAUAUCCGUCGGAUUUUUAUUUUUUAUAUCCAUAUCCAAAUCCAUAUCCAUAUCUAUCGGAUAUAUCCGUUUCAUUCGGGUUCGGAUUCGGAUAAAAUUUUGGGUAUCCAUACCCAUUGACAUCCCUACUAUCC